UUAAAUCUGCCACCGGGUAGAAAAUGCACCAGCAUUCGUGACACAUCGUUAGGUCUUAGAAGAUGUGUAAGCGAGUGUUGUUUUUAUU
rnacentral:ncRNA from 1 species